rnacentral:misc_RNA from 1 species
GUAGGUGAACCUGCGGAAGGAUCAUUAAAAAUGAAGCCGGGAAACCGGUCCUUCUAACCCUUGAUUAUCUCAAUUUGUUGCUUUGGUGGGACGCGCAAGCACCGGCUUUGGCUGGAUCGUGCCCGCCAGAGGACCCCAAACUCUUUUGUUGAUGUCGUCUGAGUACUAUAUAAUAGUUAAAACUUUCAACAACGGAUCUCUUGGUUCUG